UUGCUGAACAAUUUUCUGUGAAUUAAAAAGGGUACUACAGUAAUCUUGAAAAUUGGUAAUCAAUGCGCAUCAAACCAAUCCCAACUUUUUCGCCUUUCCUUUUCCAAUUCAUUGAAUAGUUUUGGGUAUCUUUUGGACUUCACCAAACGGCGGUAGAACGCAAUAGAGUAGGGAUUUUAUUUCUCUCAAAUGGCCGCGAAACCAAUUUUUUGCCGUUGAAAGUCAUCUUCUUCCUCUCGAUUUCUGCAAAAGAUCAUAUCAUUGGAGUGGAUCCCAAGUUGCACACAAUAAGAACAAUGGAUUUGAUUUUUGCUAGUAGUUCGACACAUAUGAAAGACACGGGCGUAUCACAAUCUGCCCUCAAAGAUCUAAUCUUUGAAUCAUGCUGAAGGGCAGAGAAUCAAAGGUAUGUGACCCGGAGAAAUCCACUGUUGCCGAGGAAGGAGACGGGUUACAGUAUACUUAUGUUAGGAAAAGUAAACGACUUAAUCCGUAGUUCAAUGUGGUUGUAAUAACUAUAUGAAACAUGUGUUUGGAUAGCAACAAAAGUUUAAUAACAGUAGACGUUUGGCGUUACGCGUACUAGACCCAAAUGUAUGUAUAUGCACCUUUUGACUAUUUUGGCUAGUCUAUAUUAUCUGUGGUGAUAUAUAAUAUUGUGCUCUCGUAUUGAAUUGAA